GAUGAACGCUGGCGGCGUGCCUAAUACAUGCAAGUCGAGCGAACAGAUGAGGAGCUUGCUCCUCUGACGUUAGCGGCGGACGGGUGAGUAACACGUGGAUAACCUACCUAUAAGACUGGGAUAACUUCGGGAAACCGGAGCUAAUACCGGAUAAUAUAUUGAACCGCAUGGUUCAAUAGUGAAAGACGGUUUUGCUGUCACUUAUAGAUGGAUCCGCGCCGCAUUAGCUAGUUGGUAAGGUAACGGCUUACCAAGGCAACGAUGAGUAGCCGACCUGAGAGGGUGAUCAGCCACACUGGAACUGAGACACGGUCCAGACUCCUACGGGAGGCAGCAGUAGGGAAUCUUCCGCAAUGGGCGAAAGCCUGACGGAGCAACGCCGCGUGAGUGAUGAAGGUCUUCGGAUCGUAAAACUCUGUUAUUAGGGAAGAACAAAUGUGUACGUAACUAUGCACGUCUUGACGGUACCUAAUCAGAAAGCCACGGCUAACUACGUG
rnacentral:rRNA from 1 species